UGCUUUAUGUGACACAAAAAAUUAUAUGAACACCUUUAUUGACAUUUCCUGUAAUAAAUUAAAAAAUAUAUUUUUAUAUUAGGAAAAAUAUAACAAAUUCUCCAUAACGGCAAAUUUUCAAUAUUUCUAUAAAAUAGUAAUUACUUCAUUUCCAGUUAUUAAAAAAAACAUUAGUUUUAAUACUUAAACUCAAAUGCCUAUAUUGUUGAAAAAUAUCCUUCUGAAUUGAUGUGAAAUUGCAAAAAAAACAACAACCUUUUUCAAAUGACGUUUUUAAUGACUCUUUUAUUCACCCAACAUACUUUUUGUCUCAUUUUACAAUAAAAAUUUCAAAAAUCUGGUAAAAAAUUUGGCAAACUUCAGUAGUUCCUCAAUUAUCAAAAAUUAUGACACACUUUUACAAAUUAAUGGAGGAGUCAGGAGUUUCCAUGAAAAAUUUUGAAGGCAUUUAAAUCUGUUGUUUCAAAUUACUCUUUCCCCAUCGACGGUGCCCUUACCUGUGGUGGGGCUUGCAAACUUUUAUGAUAUCUAGAGCCAUGCGGUAGGUCAAUUACAGGUAGGGCCUCCCAAGCCGGAGAGGUCGAGGGUGAAAAGUCAGACGAAGACGGUACCUCCCUCUGCGUCAUCGGGGAUUAGAACAGAGAGGCAACUAAAAAGGGGGCUUAAAUUAGUUAUGCGAUUCGUGCCGAAGAAUUAAUCAUGCUUGAGCCUUGUCAGGUAUCACCAAUGGAGCCUCUGGGAUACCAGGCGACCUCUUAGAGUACUACGCCUUGCAUCCCUCGAGGGGGCUUCUUGGAUGUGGAAAAUCUUUUUCCCCGCACUCGUGGGACAUGGACUGAAUAGGCAUCUAGGAUUCGCAGCACAGAUUCAUUGAAAAUAACAUAUG